UACGUAGGGGGCAAGCGUUGUCCGGAUUUAUUGGGCGUAAAGAGCGUGUAGGCGGCCAGGUAGGUCUGGUGUGAAAACUCGAGGCUUAACCUCGAGAUGUCAUCGGAAACCAUUUGGCUAGAGUCCGGAAGAGGAGAGUGGAAUUCCUGGUGUAGCGGUGAAAUGCGCAGAUAUCAGGAAGAACACCCGUGGCUAAGGCGGCUCUCUAGUACGGUACUGACGCUGAGACGCGAAAGCGUGGGGAGCGAACAGG
rnacentral:rRNA from 1 species